ensembl:snRNA U6 U6 spliceosomal RNA
GUCCUCACUUUGGCCGCACUAAUACUAAAAUUGGAAUGAUACAGAGAUUAGUAUGGCCCCUGUGCAACACACACACAAAAAAAGCCCAGUUAAUCCUG